ACUUGUUUUAAAAGGGUAGUUUUGCCGACUCCCCCUAUACCAUACAAGCCGAUAAUUCCCCUGUUAUUUUCCUCAUCAGUGAUACAUCUCCAAACUCGAUCAAGUAAUAAUUCUUGACCAACAACUGUGUGCUCAACAGGUAAUUCAAUUGCUGCACCAUCCGGCGCCUUCUCAACAACCACUUCAAUUUUUUCUCCGUCUUUCUUUAAAUUGAUCACUCGAUCCGUCAACUCGACCACCUGAGUCCCGUAAUUGUAGCUUGAAACGAAGUUUUUGGAACAGAGGCCUCCAAGGCACAAUCUAUCGAUUUCAUGAGCUCUAACUCGUUCCAGCUCGGUAAAUUCAGUUUCCAGUUUUUGCACAUCUUCAAGCCACCCUGCGACCUGGUUCGUUCGUCUGGUUCGAGGUCGUUGUUCUUCGACCUCAACCUUGGUCUUCAGAUCGUCCCUUGCUCGAGUCAAUUUGUGCAAUUCAGUCUCCAAGACCCGAAGGUUUUUUUCGAGACCCCAUACAUAAUUUGCUUGUUCACCAACGCAGUUUGAAGUUCGAUCAAAUAAGUCUGCUGGUAAGAAGGUUGAGAUUAGGUUACCCAUUGUCGUUGACGAAAAGAGGAAGAGAAGCAACGAGUACAAUGAAAAGAAUUAAGCUAAUUUUUACUUAAAUUCUUAAGAAUUGCUGUCAAAUGCAAACAGAGUAUGAGAAUCAGGUCUUUAUUGAUUAUGAUGACUUGAAUGAAAAUGAAAUACAGAGCUUUGCUAGUUUACAUACAGAGACAAAAAAUAAUGACAGCUAGCCUAAGGGGUAUUACACGGAAGUAAUCAAAAUUGAUCCGUGAAUAUAGCAAUUGUGAACCAAUCACAUUAAGCUUCUAGAAGAUGCAACUAUUCAAUGCACAUGCGCUGCUAUUCUUCAACAUAACAGUUUUGCCAGCUCAACAAAUCCAACUCACAGAAUCAAGGUCAACCGUUGACUCUUCACAGCUGCUGCUUUCAACAAUUUUUAGAGAACCACAACACCAAAAUAAAAAUAUGAUACAUUUGUUGCUUUAUUCAUUAUGUCAAAUAUCAAGAAUAUAAUGAUACGUUUGCACGUCAUAUAAAAUUUGUAUUUCAACCAAGUAAUCACAUAGUUAAUAUUAAAUCUUAUCAUUUGUUAUCUAAGUGAUAAAUUUAUAUUGACAAUAUAUUAUUUAGAAUAAAAAUUUUCUACCUUAGGUUUGGAUGAAGAUCCAAAAUAUUAAGUCAAUGAUAGAUAGAUAAAAAAUAAAAUAAAAUAAAUUUUAACAUUAAUUUUUUAUUUAAUAAAAAGUAAAUUCAAUACAGAAUUCUAAUCCCUUAAUCUCUCUCCAUCCACGGCAAAAGAAAGCAGCAACUCAACUCUCUUUAAAGGCUAUGGAGGUUCUCUUGCGACCUCUCUUCAGCAUACCCUCCAGAACAUUAACCCCACCACCGCCAUCACCACCCUGUUAAACACGUUUUCAAAACGUGUAUAAUGUGGCCAUCUAAUUUAUUUUUAAUUAUUAGUUUUCUAAUUUAAAUUGAUAUUUAUCUUUAUUUAGUUUACUUUUAAAACGUUGGGUUUGGUUUAAAAUUUGAAUAAAGAUAAAACAUCUCUUCCUAAUAUCUCUCAUACACGUUACGGGUGGUUUACUAAAAUCAAGGGGAUAACGGCUCAUAACUUCCUCUUUUAUUUAAACUUGUCAUCUUGAUGGGAGAUGUUUUACGGUCACGUUUUUUCAAGAAAAAUAUUGAGGGUCCCUGGUCUAACAACAGAGCCUGUGUAUACCAUCUACUCUCAGGAAUUAAGUGUUGGAUAGACUAGAAAAUUCUGAGUACAAAGCAUGGCUUGUUUUCGUUGGUUUUGUUUGCAUUCCAGUAGAAAGGUUGUGUACAAUUGAAUUUGAUAACUAUGGCAGGAGGUAAGUUUUCUAACUUGUGCAUGAUGAAUAUAGUCUUUUACACCCCACCAAUCAUCUCACUCUCAAAACUCUCCAUUUUUGCCUCCAUUAAUUCCCACUCUCUCCAAAACCCUGAUUUCUUCCUCUUCUCGUUUCCUCUCGCCCGCCCCUGGUACGCCAAUUUCCAUUCUCUCGCUCUUUUUUUUGGCAAUUUUGGCUUGAGUUUUUUGGGUUUUUGGUAAUUUAUCUUUAAUUUUUGUGGGUAUCCUUCGUUUUUUUAGUUAUCAUACAUGAGUUGAGUAGUCGUAGACGAUUUUUUAUUGUUUUAAACUGAACGGAUUCUUUGUAUUUCGAAAAUGAAAUUCAUUGUUUGUGAAGUAACUUUUAAAGCUGUUGAGUUGAGUUUGAAAACUUAAUGUGCUUAAAUUUAUCUAUGUGGAUUUGAAUCAGUUAGACAAGCAGCACAGGAGAGCCAAUCGAGCGCGGAGGUGAAUGCCGAUAGAAGAGAAUGGUUUAUGCAAGGUACAUUAAUAGUAAUUUGAUCUGAUGCCAAUUUUAUUUCUAUAUUAAUUUAUUAGAUUAUGUAAUGUUAUAAAUUCUUUGUUCAAAAUGUAGAGCUUGGAAAUUUAGUCGGUACAUUAUGGUAAUGAAUGUAGCUUGUGUAUCUGUUCAAAUUUAUGUCUAGCUUUGCUGUUUUGGUAAUGGUUUGUUUAGUAUAAAUUUUGUGUUGGUUAUGAUGUUGUUUAGUGGUUUGGAUCACUCGUGCUCUUUUGGCCCCCACUAAAAUUAAUUUUUCAUCAAAGGAUAUGAAUAGUUGUUCGAUGGAAACUUAAUGGAAGAUGUGGGAGCAUCUUUAUGAGUUAAGAUUCCCUGUAGCGAGUAUAUCCUUUGGUGCAUGAGAGUUUAAGUGAUUAUCGUCAUUGUUGAGUUAAACAAUGGGAUUAAUUUUCAUGUUCAUGUAAGGUGAUCAUCGCUAAAGUUAGAGCCAUUAGGUGAUAAAUUGAUACUUCAUUGUGUUGUUAUGUUUGUUAUACUGGAUAAAAAUCCCAGUGAUAGAAUUCAUGUUAGGCGGUUUUGGGUCCUAUUCAAUCCCAAAAGAUGAAUAAGGGGUGAGGCUUUCCCUCACAAUUGUAAAAUCACCACCAUCCUAGUUCACAACCGAUAUAAGACAACCCAACAAUCUCUCCCGCACAUAUUGGGCCUUGGUUCAAAAGCAUGGACACUCGUUUUCACUAGUAGGCUGUUGGACUGAGAUGUUGGUGAAUCUUUUAGUUGAUUUUUUUUUUUUUAUAAAAAGGAAAAGAUUAUGAAGAGAUAAAUACAAUAAAGAAAAAAAGAGAUCAAUAUUGCAAUAAAACAUUUAUGUAGUGAUAUUUUAUAUAAGAAUAAUUUCAUAUAGCUAUAAAAGUAAUGGUCCUAAUUUAUAUUAGGCCAAUUAUAAAUAAGAAUAAAUUUCAUGCUGUAAUAAUUUAUAAUUUUGCUAAAUCUCACCUUAAGGAGCUCACCUCCACGUAGUGUAAAUAUAUAUAUAGAAAAAAAAAAUAUGUUAUAUUACAUUAAGUGAACUUGGGGGUUGUUUGGUACCCCUCUUUACCUGGGAUUGCAUUGUGUUAGCAAUGCAACCCCAUGUUUGGGGUACCAAAUGGCUAUAUUAGCUAAACUCGACAUAUAGUCGGGUUUAGCUAAUGCGUCCAGUUACCGCAUUAGCUUUAGCUUCCUCUUUUUUUUUUUUUUUAUACUUUGUAAUAAUGAUAAAUGAAUAUAAUUUUUAAUUUAAUAUUAUAUAAUAUUAUUUUUACUUUAUAAUUUUAAUAUAAAUUAAUAAAUUUAUUGUUUAAUAAUAUUAUAUUAUAUUUUAAUUUUUAUCAUAGUAAAUGUACAACUAAAAAAUGUAUUAUUUAAUUAUAUUACAUUAAUUAAUAUGUAAAAUUAUAUUAAUUAAUAUAUAUAAUUGAUUAAUUUUUAAUAAGUUAAUAUAACUAAUAAUAAAUACUUAAAUAAUAUAAUAUAAUAUAAUAUUAUUUAAUUUAUUAAAAUAAUUAAACUAGUUAUUUUUAAAUAAUUUAAUAUAACUAAUAAUAAAUAUUUAAAUAUGAAUAAAUUUGAAUAAUAUUAAUUAAAAAUUAAUAAAAUAUAUAAUUAUUAGAUUGUUUAGCACAAUUCAUUUUUUAGCACAAUUCAUUAGUAUUUUCUAAAUAUAUAAUUUAAAUUAGUCACAAAAAAUUAAUACAAUAUAGUGCAAUAUCAAAUAUAAUAUAAUUAAAAAUUAAAUAUAAUACAGUAUAGUACCAAACAUUAUACAACAUUAUUAUAAUACAUUACUAAUACAACACAACAUAAUGCAAUACACCUGCAUUAAAAUAAUGCAAUACAAUAUAAUAUAAUACAGCGUGCCAAACGCACUCUUGUAUCCAUAUAGUACAAAAACAACAUAAGAGAAAAAUGUUAAAGAGAACACAAAAGUUCAGAGACUUUUAAGAUAAUGUUUUAUAUUUGUAACAAGCAUGUGCUAACUUUUUUGAAACCAUGUAUAUUUAUUUUUUCCCUAAGUUACAUGCAUGUAACUUAGCAUUAGCCUCAUUUUAUUAUUAUCUAUACAUUGGAUUUGACAUGUUUCAUUAAUAAUUUAUUACUACAUCUCUAUUAAAAUAAUUGAGGUCCUGCACUUUCAUUGGAAGAUAGGAGAAAAAAAUAAUUGAUAAGAGAAGAAAACAAUUUAAAAUAAAAUUUUAAAAUAUUUAUCAUUACUUAAAAAAAUUAAUUUUCUUUUCCUAAAGUUAUUCCACAGACGGUAGUACAAAAUUAUGUGAUCACGCACGCACACAGUGAUAGGGUAAUUAUUGAAACAAAAAUGAAAUUUGUCUGUUUUCCAUUUGAAAUCUAUUACUAAUAUAAAGGAAAAGAAAAAUCUUUAAUUACUUUUUUUUUUUUUCAUGUAGGGCAAGGCAAACAUCACUAUCUUGUUAAAUUAAUAUUUAAAAUUAUCCCACCAAAUGUAAUUAUAACAAAUUAAAUAAAUAUUUACUAUGAGUUCAGCAUCUGGGUUCCCACUCCAUAAAUAUGCCAGCAUUUUAAAACAAACAAGACUUAGAGUGUGUUUGGGAUUGAGGUGCUGUAGCUUUUAAGCUACAGCUGCUGUGAAAAAAAAACUGUAAUUAUGAAACAAAAUUUAAUAAUAUAUAGUAAAUAUAAAUUUUAAAUAAUAAUUUUGAUAAAAAUAUUAAAGAUAUAAUAAAUUUUAUAUUAUACAAGUGAAAAAUCAUAUUAACAUAGCUUAAAAGCUACAGCAGCUAGUGUUUACCAAACACUACAGCUGCCCAACCUCAAUCCCAAACGCACUCUUAAGCGACAAAUACAAUUUUGUCAAUGAGUAUAAAGGUCGCAUUAUAAGCCAAAGGAGAGCAGUUAAGGGAAGAUAAAAUAUUAUUGUAUUGAACUGGUUAUUUCUCUCUAGGGGUGGCAAAAAAGUCUGGGCUGGUCUAGGCCCGCGGGCCUAAAGCCCGGCCCGUAAGGGUGGGCCCAGAUAUUGGCCUAAAAAUUACAAAGCCCACAUAUGUGGGAUCUGGACAAGGGCUUAGCAAAAAAGCCCGGACUUGGCCCAGGCUUUUUAAAUUUAUGAAUAAAAAAUAAAUUUAAUUUAAAUAAAAAAAGAAAAAACUCAAAAUAUUAAAUUAGUUUAAUUUUUUAUAUUAGUAUUUGUUAUUUUAUUAGGUUGUAUUAUUAAUAUUUUAUGUAUUGGACUAUUAUUCUAUUUUAUAUAUUAGAUGAUUAUCUUUAAUUUAAAUUUUUUCUUAAUUUAAAAAAUAUUUUAUAAUUAAUUUAAAAAGCCCAAGCCCGGCCCAGGCCCGGCCCGAGUUCGGUCCGUCCAAAUUUAAACGGGUUUUUGAAGGGCCUGGACUUCGUUUGAAUGAUGUGGGCUUGGGCCUGGGCUUUGAAAAGCCCGGCCCAAACCCGCAAAUUGCCAUCCCUAUUUCUCUCUCUUCUAUUAUUAAUUUGUUGUUAAUUAUAACCUUUGCGGGAUUUAAAAAAAAGAAAAAGGCCCUUGCGUUUUCAUCAACAUUACACUGCCAAAUGUGAAAUGGAUUGAGAACCACAUGUCCUUAUUAUGCUGCCACUCCACAAAUGUUUAUUUUCCCCUCAUUCUCCUUAGAAGCCAGAGGCAGAGUCAGUCCUGCACCCCUUUACGUAUGCCUUCUCCAUAAAUUAACAUAAACGAUUAGUAUUAGAGCUGGCAAAAUGGGUCAUCGGGUCGUGUUUGUAUUGUGUCAGCUUCGUGUCGUGUCAAAUUUAGGUCGACCCAUACUCGACCCAUUUAAUAAUCGUGUCAAAAUAUUGAGACACAAACCCGACACGGAAAAAUAAUCAGGUUAUCCAAUAACCCGCUAUCUAUAUAUUAAACAAAAGUUACAUCAAAUAUUUACACAUUUUCAUACAUACGUAUGCGCAUACAUACAUACAUAAUUUAUUGAUAUUAUAAAAUAUACAUAUCUACUAAAAUAUUAGACACACUAUUGAGGUUUUAAUUAUAUAUGUGUAAAUAAUAUUAUAUAUCAAUAUUAUAAAAUAUAUAUGUCUACGAAUAUUUUAUACAUUUAUACUAGCUCUAAAUGUAUUUAAAAAUUCAUAAAUAAAAUAUUAUGUCUAUAUUCAUCCUUUUAAAGAAUUAAAAAAAAUCAUCUCUAAUAUUUGAGUUUUGGUGACAAGAAUUUACAAAUUAUUUUAAAAUAGAAAAUAUAAUCGGGUCAUUGAUCGGGUAAAUGGGUCAAGAAUUUUAACUCUAACCCGACACGAAAAAAAAUCGUGUUGACCCGGACCCGACCCAUUUAAUAAUCGUGUUAAAUUCAACGACUCAUACCCAUUUAUUAGUGUUGUGUUCGUAUUGGGUAAUCGGGCCGUGUCAAAUUUUGCCAUAUCUAAUUAGUAUAAGAUGAUUUAACCACACAAUAUGUCAAAUUUACAUUUUGCAAUCAUUGAUACUUGGUGCUACAGUCAAAUUUAUAUUUAUUCAAGGUAGCGGGUUCAAUAAUUAAAUUCACAUAAAAAGAAAGAUGCAUUCACCCUUAAUGGCCCAGGAGCCAACCAAAUUCCGCGUCCGCGAAGUGAGGCACUUUUCUUAAAGUUAUUUCACAGACGGAAGAACAAAAUUCUGUGAUCACGCACAAAGUGAUAGGGCAAUUAUUGAAACAUAAAUAAUGUCUAUUUCCCAUCCGAAAUCUGUUCUAAUAUAAAGGACAAGAAAAAGUUUUAAUUAUUAUUAUUAUUAUUUUUCACGUAGGGCAAGGCAAACAUCACUAUCUUGUUAAAUUAACAUUUAACAUUGUCCCACCAAAUAUAAUUAUAACCAAUUAAAUAAAUAUUUACUAUGAGUUCAGCAUCUGAGUUCCCACUCCAUAAAUAUGCCAGUAUUUUAAAACAAACAAGACUUAAGCGACAAAUACAAUUUUGUCACCGAGUGUAAAGGUCGCAUUUUAAGCCAAAGGAGAGCAGUUAAAAGGAAGAUAAAAUAUUACCGUAUUUCUCUCUCUUCUAUUAUUAGUUUGUUGUUAAUUAUAACCCUUUUCGGGAUUAAAAAAAGAAAAGAAAAAGGCCUUUGCGUUUUCUAUUAGCAUGUGUACAUGUUUAUUUUCUGUGUUAGUAGUGCAGAGUAUAUACUGAACACACUGGACAAAAAGGGUAAUUUGUAAUCAAUUUAGUUUUAUAAACAUUAAUCUCGGAAGUAGUUACUGAACUUCAUGUGGAAAAAAAAAUAAAAAAAGAUAGUCGCUGAGCAAUAAAUCUACAAGUCAUCAAAAUCGAGCAAUUCUAUGGCAAGAAUUCUUUCCAGUGGGAGGAUUCUAAAACCAAGAAUCCACUGCUGAAAUUUUAUUCACUGAAAAUAGGGAACGAUUGACACACCAGACAACAAGAACAAGAUGCAAUUAAAUCUAAUGAAAAUUAAAAAAAGAAAAAAGAAAUACAUAUUCAAACAUAUUAAUGAAAAUCAUCCCCAAGUACGACACCGGAAGAGAAAGCAUUUUGGGUGGCUUGAUCCUCCCAUUGUAGCUCUUCCCACCAUUCUUUCUCUCCCUCGAUGACAACUCGACGUUCCUUCACGCUGCUGGAAUUGACUGGGAGCUUCUUCAGCUGUGGGCAUCCACGUACUUGAAUUUUCUUCAGCUUUGGAAGGGGCAGGGGAUUCGGGUAAACGCUCUUUAAAUUUCUUCCCCACUUUAUGGUUAGAGAUUCGAGUUGUGCAAAAAAGUUAUGCUCUGACCCGAUUAUCUCCGAAAUAUCUCUCAAUUUAUCAACACUAAUUAUUUCUUCCAUUUCUGUACAAAAGACUAUACGCAGCUGCUUGAGAAUUUGAACAAAAACUAGCCACGUUAAGUCUUUCAUUUUUUUGCAACUGCUUAUGACAACUCUGUCGAGACUGCGGAAACCACUUUGAAAAAGCUUCUUCACCUCUUCUGUGCUGUCAAUCUUCAUCUCUUCCAAGUUAAUGUCUUCAAGAUCUAACUCCUGAAGAUUCUCCAUGUAUGCGAGAUGUAAGAGAUUGAACGGUGCACUUUUACAAUGGUAAACCAAUACAAAUUGAGUGAUGCUCACCAGCUUUGGAUAUUUCAAAAACUUUUGGACAGCAAGUGAACUUCCGAAGGACCAGCUUAAAACAUUUAAAUGCUUCAAACCCAGCAAUUCCUUCAUCAAAGGUUCAGCACCAUCACAUAGAACGUUACCUUCUUUCCCUUUUAUUACCGAAAGCGACCGCACCCACGCAACCUGAGUACCUCCAACUUUGAAAAGCCAGAUAUCAAUUCAUGUGGAAUUAUAGACAAAUGAAAUGCAUAGUCCAAGUUCAAAUAUCUCAGCUUCUCCAAUGCCUUCAGCUCUUGCGGCAACCCAGUUAUGUCAGUCGAUGAAAGAUCAAGAUGAUGUAAUGAAACCAAACUUGAAAUCCCUGAAGGUAGUUUACUUAGGGAAAGAUUUAUUCGUAGACUUAAUACUCUAAGAGAAGACAUCGAUUGAAAGAAGCCAUCAGUAAUCUCCUCAAUCCAAUUUCCAUCCAGAAGUAAAGUGACGAGACGUGGACACGUGGGAAUUUCCGAUAGGCUUUGAAUUCUAGUUUUCAUCAGAGAUAUCCGUUUGGCACCUUCCCAUUCUUCAACCUUUGGUGCUUCGGUCAGUUUAACUCCAGCGUGAACCAGAAAGUUCUGCUCCUCCUUGUCUACCGUGCACGCUAUCCAUAAUGACAUCUCACGAAUCAUAUCGUGCAUCUUUACAUGAUCAUCGCCUUCUUCCUCCAAUAAGCAUGCUUGAAGAAGGUCAUCAAUAAAAUCGCAUCCAUCAUCAAAAUCACACACAAAUCCUUCACUAAUCCAGUAAUCAAUCAAUUCCCUUCUAGGAAUUUCGUAGUCUUCAGGGUACAAACAACAAUACAGGAGACAGGAACGAAGUUCGUCCGUAGACAAACUAUCAUAGCUGAACUUUAAACGCGAAAACACCUCUUCUUUCAUACCUGAGCAUUUAGAAGCUGAUGUUCUCAUUUUGUGAAUUGCACGUUUCCAAUCUCCAACUUUCCUUUGGCUUUUCAUCGCUCGACCCACUGUUUUAAGCGCUAGCGGCAACCCACCACACUCUCUUGCCAAGGUUUCGGCUAGCUCUGGAAUACUGGUAUGACUGUCAAGAGUGGAUCUUUCGACCAUCUCCUGAAAUAAUUCCCAGGCUUUAUCAUGCGCCAAACUAUACACUUCCACCUUUUCAGCGUCCAUUUGAUCGCAAACACCAGCUGAACGAGUUGUCAAGACUACUUUGGACCCAUCAUUUAGUUUUUGAAGAGGGACACCCAAUUGUGUUAAAUCAAUGCGUUCCCAUAUAUCAUCCAAUAACAACACAAACUUCUUUCCGCUUAAAAUUCUAGCGAUGUCCGCAGCCUUGUCUCGAGGACUUUUUUUCUCCCACCUUUGGUCUUCUGAAAAGCCAAUCCUUUUUCCAAUGUCAUCUUGAAGUGUUGACGCAACCGCCCAGAUAACAACAUCAAAAUUAUGCUGUUGAUGGCAGAAGUUGUUGUUGACUUGUUUUAAAAGGGUAGUUUUGCCGGCUCCCCCUAUACCAUACAAGCCGAUAAUUCCCCUGUUCUUUUCCUGAUCAGUGAUACAUCUCCAAACUUGAUCAAGUAAUAGUUCUUGACCAACAACUGUGUGAUCAAGAGGUAAUUCAAUUGCUGCACCAUCUGGCGCCUUCUCAACAACGACUUCAAUUUUUUCUCCGUCUUUCUUUAAAUUGAUCACUCGAUCCGUCAACUCGACCACCUGAGUCCCGUAAUUGUAGCUUGAAACGAAGUUUUUGGAACAGAGGCC
rnacentral:lncRNA from 1 species